rnacentral:rRNA from 1 species
GACGAACGCUGGCGGCGUGCUUAACACAUGCAAGUCGAACGGAAAGGCCCUGCUUUUGUGGGGUGCUCGAGUGGCGAACGGGUGAGUAACACGUGAGUAACCUGCCCCUGACUUUGGGAUAACUUCAGGAAACUGGGGCUAAUACCGGAUAGGAGCUCCUGCUGCAUGGUGGGGGUUGGAAAGUUUCGGCGGUUGGGGAUGGACUCGCGGCUUAUCAGCUUGUUGGUGGGGUAGUGGCUUACCAAGGCUUUGACGGGUAGCCGGCCUGAGAGGGUGACCGGCCCCAUUGGGACGGAGAUACGGCCCAGACUCCUACGGGAGGCAGCAGUGGAGAAUAUUGCACAAUGGGCGGAAGCCUGAUGCAGCAACGCCGCGUGCGGGAUGACGGCCUUCGGGUUGUAAAGCGCUUUCGCCUGUGACGAAGCGUGAGUGACGGUAAUGGGUAAAGAAGCACCGGCUAACUACGUG